GGAUCCUAUCUUUUAGGAAAAAUAAGAUAAGAUAAGAUAAGAUAAGAUACUUUUGGUAUCUUUUCUGUAUCUUAUAUCUUGUAAAAAUUUCGAAGAAAAAAUAGUAUCUUUAUCUUUAGGGUAAGCUCAUUUUAGCCUAAAGUUACCUAAAAGAUACAAGAUACUUUUGACCCCAUCUACCGGGAAAAAGUCAAGCUACCUGUAGCAAAUUUUAUUUAAAGUCAGUUUUCCGUCAUGCCUUUUUUCUUUGUCUGCUGCUACUGACCUGAUCUGAGUACUGCUAGUCUGCUACUGACCACAGUACUGAAAUUACGACAGUUAAAUUCUUCUAACUAUCAAACAGGCUAUUGUGGUUUUUGCUGUUUAUUGCAGGCUUGCAGCACUUUUUUUUUCCUUUUUUCCAAUCACCCUAUUAUCCCUAUAACAGUAGAAACUGUAACGUUCCACUUAUCAGGCCAUUGCGUUCAAAUUUAGUCCAACCAGGCUCCAAUGAUUGGUCCAAAAUGCCACCAAGAGUUACGAAGGCCUUUGGAAAAAGAAGUGGAACUAUAGUUUCUAGAGGUCGAGGCUCAGUUCAAACCAGGGAAGAAAACCUACGACAAAUUGUGGGCCAGCCUCCCAUUAGUGAUGCUCACCAGGAAUUGUUAGAUGAGGAAGGUGCAGAGGGAGGCAGUGAUGACAUUGUGGAUUUGGCAGAAUAUGAAAUCACAUCCGCUAGUGCUGAGCCUUUACCUCCACCAGAUUGGCGCUGGGCAGCGAAAAAGAAGGGCAAUGGCCAUCAGGUUUGGGCUCGCUGCAACACCGGGAAAUGCAAAACAAAAAACAAACAACACUACUAUUCAGGUGAAUUAACUUCAUUCUCAAACUUGGCUUCCGAUAUAUUAACGGCCAAACGGUCUGCCAUGAAAACCGAUCUUUUUUCUAACUUAAUGCUCAUUAAGUGUAAUGCUGGACUUAACGUAGGCUCAUUUGAUAAAUAAAUGA